GGGGGCGAUUCUGGAUUCGACGGGAUUCGCGAAACUCCGGGAGCAUGCCGAGGGGCGGUUGGCCUCGUAAAAAGCCGCAAAGUUAUAGUUGCAAACGACGAUAACUACGCUCUGGCUGCUUAAUUAGCGCCAGCCAUCUACCACAGGUCUCGCACAUGGGCAGUGGAUUUGAUGGUCACCUUACAUCGUGCUAGCGAGGGAACCUUGUCUGGGGGUGAACCGCGAAACAGUUCCAGGCUCACCGUUAGAAAUCCUGUCUUUCGGAGUUCGAGCGGUUAAAUAAAAGAGAGACUAAGCAUGUAGCGCCUUGAGCGUAGGUUUUUCGGACGCGGGUUCAAGUCCCGCCGCCUCCACCA
rfam:Shewanella amazonensis SB2B, complete genome.